rnacentral:rRNA from 1 species
AUUGAACGCUGGCGGCAGGCCUAACACAUGCAAGUCGAGCGGAUGAAGGGAGCUUGCUCCUGGAUUCAGCGGCGGACGGGUGAGUAAUGCCUAGGAAUCUGCCUGGUAGUGGGGGAUAACGUCCGGAAACGGGCGCUAAUACCGUAUACGUCCUGAGGGAGAAAGUGGGGGAUCUUCGGACCUCACGCUAUCAGAUGAGCCUAGGUCGGAUUAGCUAGUUGGUGGGGUAAAGGCCUACCAAGGCGACGAUCCGUAACUGGUCUGAGAGGAUGAUCAGUCACACUGGAACUGAGACACGGUCCAGACUCCUACGGGAGGCAGCAGUGGGGAAUAUUGGACAAUGGGCGAAAGCCUGCUCCAGCCAUGCCGCGUGUGUGAAGAAGGUCUUCGGAUUGUAAAGCACUUUAAGUUGGGAGGAAGGGCAGUAAGUUAAUGCCUUGCUGUUUUGACGUUACCAACAGAAUAAGCACCGGCUAACUUCGUG